UACGGAGGGGGCUAGCGUUGUUCGGAAUUACUGGGCGUAAAGCGCACGUAGGCGGCUUUGUAAGUUAGAGGUGAAAGCCCAGGGCUCAACCCUGGAAUUGCCUUUAAGACUGCAUCGCUUGAACAUCGGAGAGGUAAGUGGAAUUCCGAGUGUAGAGGUGAAAUUCGUAGAUAUCAGGAGGAAUACCAGUGGCGAAGGCGGCUUUCUGGGCCUACCCUGACGCUGAGGAGCGAAAGCGUGGGGAGCAAACCGG
rnacentral:rRNA from 1 species